GAUAAUGGCUCAGGAUGAACGCUAGCUACAGGCUUAACACAUGCAAGUCGAGGGGAAACGACAUCGAAAGCUUGCUCUUGAUGGGCGUCGACCGGCGCACGGGUGAGUAACGCGUAUCCAACCUGCCCAUCACUUGGGAAUAACCUUGCGAAAGUAAGACUAAUGCCCAAUGAUAUCCCACGAAGGCAUCCGAAUGGGAUUAAAGAUUUAUCGGUGAUGGAUGGGGAUGCGU
rnacentral:rRNA from 1 species